rnacentral:rRNA from 1 species
AUUGAACGCUGGCGGCAUGCCUUACACAUGCAAGUCGAACGGCAGCACGGGGGCAACCCUGGUGGCGAGUGGCGAACGGGUGAGUAAUAUAUCGGAACAUGCCCUGAAGUGGGGGAUAACGUAGCGAAAGUUACGCUAAUACCGCAUAUUCUGUGAGCAGGAAAGCAGGGGAUCGCAAGACCUUGCGCUUUAGGAGUGGCCGAUAUCGGAUUAGCUAGUUGGUGAGGUAAAAGCUCACCAAGGCGACGAUCCGUAGCGGGUCUGAGAGGAUGAUCCGCCACACUGGGACUGAGACACGGCCCAGACUCCUACGGGAGGCAGCAGUGGGGAAUUUUGGACAAUGGGCGCAAGCCUGAUCCAGCCAUGCCGCGUGAGUGAAGAAGGCCU